GAUGAACGCUGGCGGCGUGCUUAACACAUGCAAGUCGAACGGAGUUGUCUCGCUGAAGCGAGCUUGCUCAAUUCUUGAGGCAACUUAGUGGCGGACGGGUGAGUAACGCGUGGGUAACCUGCCAUAUACAGGGGGAUAACACUUAGAAAUAGGUGCUAAUACCGCAUAAGCGCACAGUUUCGCAUGAAACAGUGUGAAAAACUCCGGUGGUAUAAGAUGGACCCGCGUCUGAUUAGCUAGUUGGUGAGGUAACGGCUCACCAAGGCGACGAUCAGUAGCCGGCCUGAGAGGUUGAUCGGCCACAUUGGGACUGAGACACGGCCCAGACUCCUACGGGAGGCAGCAGUGGGGGAUAUUGCGCAAUGGGGGAAACCCUGACGCAGCAACGCCGCGUGAAGGAAGAA
rnacentral:rRNA from 1 species